rnacentral:rRNA from 1 species
GAUGAACGCUGGCGGCGUGCCUAAUACAUGCAAGUCGAGCGAACGGACGAGAAGCUUGCUUCUCUGAUGUUAGCGGCGGACGGGUGAGUAACACGUGGAUAACCUACCUAUAAGACUGGGAUAACUUCGGGAAACCGGAGCUAAUACCGGAUGAUAUUUUGAACCGCAUGGUUCAAAGGUGAAAGACGGUCUUGCUGUCACUUAUAGAUGGAUCCGCGCUGCAUUAGCUAGUUGGUAAGGUAACGGCUUACCAAGGCAACGAUGCAUAGCCGACCUGAGAGGGUGAUCGGCCACACUGGAACUGAGGCACGGUCCAGACUCCUACGGGAGGCAGCAGUAGGGAAUCUUCCGCAAUGGGCGAAAGCCUGACGGAGCAACGCCGCGUGAGUGAUGAAGGUCUUCGGAUCGUAAAACUCUGUUAUUAGGGAAGAACAUAUGUGUAAGUAACUGUGCACAUCUUGACGGUACCUAAUCAGAAAGCCACGGCUAACUACGUG